rnacentral:rRNA from 1 species
UACGAAGGGGGCUAGCGUUGCUCGGAAUCACUGGGCGUAAAGCGCACGUAGGCGGCUUUCUAAGUCAGGGGUGAAAUCCUGGAGCUCAACUCCAGAACUGCCUUUGAUACUGGAGAGCUUGAGUCCGGAAGAGGUGAGUGGAACUCCGAGUGUAGAGGUGAAAUUCGUAGAUAUUCGGAAGAACACCGAUGGCGAAGGCAGCCCCCUGGGCUGACACUGACGCUCAGGCACGAAAGCGUGGGGAGCAAACAGG